UAGUCAAUUGCAACUUAGCCGAAUUGCC
rnacentral:piRNA from 1 species